rnacentral:tRNA from 1 species
UGCAUCGGCCGGGAAUCGAACCCGGGCCGCCCGCGUGGCAGGCGAGCAUUCUAACACUGAACACCAAUGC